UACGAAGGGGGCUAGCGUUGCUCGGAAUCACUGGGCGUAAAGGGUGCGUAGGCGGGUCUUUAAGUCAGUGGUGAAAUCCUGGAGCUCAACUCCAGAACUGCCUUUGAUACUGAAGAUCUUGAGUUCGGGAGAGGUGAGUGGAACUGCGAGUGUAGAGGUGAAAUUCGUAGAUAUUCGCAAGAACACCAGUGGCGAAGGCGGCUCACUGGCCCGAUACUGACGCUGAGGAGCGAAAGCGUGGGGAGCGAACAGG
rnacentral:rRNA from 1 species